CCCCCGUAUGAUCACCGAAGUUAAGCAACGUCGUGUCUGGUCAGUACCUAGAUGGGUGACCGCUUGAGAAUACCAGGUGCUGUAA